AGAUCUAGAAACACUGAUGAGAUGGUUGAAUCGCGCAUUUUGCUUCAGAGAGAGAAUGCUGGGGCAGUGAUUGGAAAAGAAUAUUAAGGCUCUCCGUACAGACUACAGUGCCAGCGUUUCAGUCCCAGACAGCAGUGGCCCUGAGCACAUACUGAGUAUCGGUGCUGAUAUUGAGACGAUUGGAGAAAUUCUGAGGAAAAUCGUCCCUACCUUGGAGGAGUGCCAACAUUAUAGAGGAAGUGACUUUGACUGUGAGCUGGGACUGUUGAUUCAGCAAAGUCUGGCAGGAGGAAUUAUUGGUGUUAAAGGUGCUAAAACUAAAGAACUUCGAGAAAACACUCAGACAACAGUCAAGCUUUUCCAGGAAUGCUGCCCUCAUUCUACUGACAGAGUUGUUCUUAUGGGAGGAAAGCCUGAUAGGGUUGUAGAAUGCAUCAAAUCAUCCUUGACCUCGUGUCUGAGUCUCCCAUCAAAGGAUGUGCACAACCUUACAAUCCCAACUUCUAUGAUGAAACCUAUGAUUGUGGUGGUUUUACAAUGUUGUCUGAUGACCGCCGAGGACGUCCUGAGGGAUUCCCAAUGCGGGGAAGAGGUGGUUUUGACAGAAUGCCUCCUGGUCAGGGUGGGCAUCCCGUGCCUCCUCCUAGAAGAGAUUAUGAUGGUAUGAGCCCUUGUCGAGGACCUCCUCCACCUCCUCAUGGUCGAGGUGGACGGGGUGGCAGCAGAGCCCGGAAUCUUCCUCUUCCUCCUCCUCCACCACCCAGAGGGGGAAAUCUAAUGGCUUGCGACAGAAGAGGUCAGCCUGGAGACCGCUAUGAUGGCGUGGUUGGGUUCAGUGCUGAUGAAACUUGGGACUCUGCAAUUGACACAUGGAGCCCAUCAGAAUGGCAAAUGGCUUAUGAACCGCAGGUGGUUCUGGAUAUGAUUAUUCUUAUGUAGGGGGUCGUGGCUCAUACAGUGAUCUUGGCAGACAUAUUAUCACUACACAAGUAACUAUUUCCAAAGAUUUGACUGGAUCUAUUAUUGGUGAAGGUGGUCAGAGGAUUAAACAAAUCUGUCAUGAGUCUGGAGCAUCAAUCAAAACUGAUGAACGUUAGAAGGAUCUGAAGAUCGGAUCAUUAUCAUCACAGGAACACAGGACCAGAUACAGAAUGCACAGUAUUUGCUGCAGAACAGUAUAAAGCAGUAUUCUGGAAAGAUUUUCUAAGACUGGUGAAGAACUGAAGGAGUCCUGAAUCUUUUUUUUUUUUUUCUAUCUGCUUCUGUUUAAAAAGCCAACAUUCCUCUGCUUCAUAGGUGUUCUGCAUUUGAGGUGUACUGAAAUCUUUGCUGCUCACCAGAUGUAAUGUUUUAGUUCCUUACAAACAGGGUUGGGGGGAGGGCAUGCAAAAAAACUAACAUUGAAAUUUUGAAACAGCAGCAGAGUGAGUGACUUUUAUUUUUUGUUCAUUGUUGGUGGUUUUAAAAAUUCCCCCCGUGUAAUUAUUGUGAACACCUUGCUUUGUGGUCACUGUAACAUUGGGGGGUGGGACAGGGAGGCAAGUAAUAGUCCACAUGUCCCUGGCAUUUGUUCAGAGCAGUGUGCACCAUGUAAUGCUCUUUUGUAAGAAACGUUUUAUGAUUUUUAAAAUAAAUUUAGUGAAUCUA